AACGAACGCUUGCGGCGCGCCUAAUACAUGCAAGUCGAACGGGAAAGCACCUUCGGGUGUGGACUAGUGGCGCACGGGUGAGUAAUGCGUGGAUAAUCUGCCCUUCAGUGGGGAAUAACUAUCCGAAAGGAUAGCUAAUACCGCAUAAGACCACAGUCUCUGCGGAGGCCGAGGUUAAAGAUUUAUCGCUGAAGGAUGAGUCCACGUGGGAUUAGCUUGUUGGUGGGGUAAAAGCCUACCAAGGCUACGAUCUCUAGCUGGUCUGAGAGGAUGAUCAGCCACACUGGGACUGAGACACGGCCCAG
rnacentral:rRNA from 1 species